rnacentral:rRNA from 1 species
GAUGAACGCUAGCGGCAGGCCUAAUACAUGCAAGUCGAACGGGAGUAAGAAGCUUGCUUCUUACGAGAGUGGCGCACGGGUGCGUAACACGUAUGCAACCUACCUUCAACAGGGGGAUAGCCUUCCGAAAGGGAGAUUAAUACCGCAUAACAUCAUGAGCUGGCAUCAGUUUAUUAUCAAACCUACGGGGGUUGAAGAUGGGCAUGCGUCCGAUUAGUUAGUUGGUGAGGUAACGGCUCACCAAGACAUCGAUCGGUAGGGGAUCUGAGAGGGUGACCCCGCACACUGGUACUGAGACACGGACCAGACUCCUACGGGAGGCAGCAGUAAGAAAUAUUGGUCAAUGGACGGAAGUCUGAACCAGCCAUGCCGCGUGCAGGAAGACGGUCCUCUGGAUUGUAAACUGCUUUUAUUAGGGAAGAAACCCUCGGUUGCGAUCGAGGCUGACGGUACCUAAAGAAUAAGGAUCGGCUAACUCCGUGCCAGCAGCCGCCGUAAGAC